GGCCGCGUGGCCCAAUGGCAAGGCGCUUGACUACGAUUCAAUCAUCAUGAUUGAGCGGUAUCAAGAGAUUCCAGGUUCGACCCCUGGCGUGGUCA